UUAGUUGCUUAAGUCUAUUAAUAAAUCUAUUCCAAGACAGUAUCAAGUACCUUGACAGAGCAAUUAUAGGACUGGUUUGUCCUACAGCGCCAGUGUCAACUUGGGGGAAAUUUAUAAUGACAACAACAGUAAGGAUGGAAUAAGCAUAAACUUUUGGUCCUCUAUGUUGAUAAUAAUUGUGACUGGCGGAGGUUUUUGCUAUCUUGAGGGAUCACAGUUCUUUCUUAGUUUUUGGUUGAUAAUCUAUGUUGUUAACUUGAUUUCUGGAUCAGUAAAUUUUUUUUUUCAGCUAGACUAGAAGUUCCUUCUAAUUCCUUUUAGAUAUUUGGAGCUAUUCCUAUUUGGAGUUCCAUUUAUCUUUCUUGAGCUGGGGGUCUACGGAAUCAGUCACUCUACCUUCUUAAAGGUAGGGGUAAGGUCUGUAUACACUACCCUUCUCAGACCCCACUUGUGGAUUAUACUUGAUAUGUUGUUGUUGUUUUUGUUGUUAUCAACAUCUUGUGUUAUUUUUCAUUUGAUCUUCUCAAAUAGAAACGAUUUCAAUGGGAUACUGCAAUUGAAGGUGCUAUAAAGGAUAAGUUUAUGAGCAAAUGUGCAGAACGAUACAAGGGUAUGUUAUUUGAAGCAAGACUUGAUGAGAAGAAGCGCAAACAUAUUCCAGUAUCUAUUUGGGAGAGCUGGAAGCCUCACUGGGAGACUGAGGCUUUUAAAGCCAAGUCCGUGUAGUGCUCAAAGAAUCGGCUAAAUGAGAAAGGUGGUGAAGGAUCUGGUCCCUCAUGCCAUACAGGAGGCUCCAAAACUCACCGAGAACAUGCAAAUAUACUGGCUAAAGAACUAGUAAUACUAGCACAUCCACAUGAGCUUCUGAGGACGACACACGUCAAGGCGAACAAGGAGUUUGUGGACCAGAAAUCUAGGAGCACAUAUGAUUCCAUAAUAUCUAAAAUUGUGUCUGCGUCUCAACCUGAAGAUAGGUCCAGUGAGCCUCUUGAAGUUGAUUUCUUACAAAUUUAUUUGGACGAAGUCGGUGUUAAGAAGGCACACAUUUAUGGUCUUGGUUCUCAAGCUCUUUUCUAUGGGCAUGUUGGUGCAUCCUCCAGUUCGAAAUCUCCGCUUCAAGAUCUAGACUUUAAUGCUCGGGUGAAUGAAUGUGUCGGACAUCGUUUGCAAGAAAUUAAAGAAGAGAUGAAGCAUGAGAUGAGAUCAGAGAUCAAAGAUCAGAGAAGAGAUUAGCCAAGAAAAGAGAGAAGAAAUACGUAAAAAAAUGAGACAUGAAAUGCAACAAGAGGUGCGUGAGCAAGUUGAUCAACUACUCUAAAACUGUCUGUCGAUCCUCAUAGGUGGCUUACCUACACCGCCUUCUCUUAGGCAUGGCUCGUUGUCAAAUAAUGACACGAGUAAUAUUUAGAUUUAUUUUAGCUUCUUUUAUGUUAGACACGUUUCGGAUUCUACUUUCAACUUCAUGACAGAUAUUAUUAUUAUUAUUUAUAAAGUGCUAUUAUGUUUUUUGUUCUA